rnacentral:rRNA from 1 species
CCUACGGGAGGCAGCAGUGAGGAAUAUUGGUCAAUGGACGAGAGUCUGAACCAGUCAAGUAGCGUGAAGGAUGACUGCCCUAUGGGUUGUAAACUUCUUUUAUAUGGGAAUAAAGUGUUCCACGUGUGGGCUUUUGUAUGUACCAUAUGAAUAAGGAUCGGCUAACUCCGUGCCAGCAGCCGCGGUAAUACGGAGGAUCCGAGCGUUAUCCGGAUUUAUUGGGUUUAAAGGGAGCGUAGGUGGAUUGUUAAGUCAGUUGUGAAAGUUUGCGGCUCAACCGUAAAAUUGCAGUUGAAACUGGCAGUCUUGAGUACAGUAGAGGUGGGCGGAAUUCGUGGUGUAGCGGUGAAAUGCUUAGAUAUCACGAAGAACUCCGAUUGCGAAGGCAGCUCACUGGACUGCAACUGACACUGAGGCUCGAAAGUGUGGGUAUCAAACAGGAUUAGAUACCCUAGUAGUC